AGAAGAGGGACGAGUAUUAUGCAAGCCUCCAGGCCCAAAAUCAAGCUCUUCUCUCGCAACUAGCCCAACAAGCGGGCGUCCCGAUGCCGACAUAUGGGAUGCCUCCUCCGGAUUUUGCACUGCCAAUGCAAAUGUUGGCGCCUCCACCUCCGCCUCCGUCACAAUUCCCUAUGGGAUUUCAAACACCACCCGCUUCAGUUGUCGCACCUAGAGA